GUGGGGAAUCUUCCGCAAUGGACGAAAGUCUGACGGAGCAACGCCGCGUGAGUGAUGAAGGUCUUCGGAUUGUAAAGCUCUGUUAAUCGGGACGAAAGAGCCUAGUGUGAAUAAUGCUAGGAAGUGACGGUACCGGAAUAGAAAGCCACGGCUAACUACGUGCCAGCAGCCGCGGUAAUACGUAGGUGGCAAGCGUUGUCCGGAAUUAUUGGGCGUAAAGCGCGCGCAGGCGGAUCUGCCAGUCUGUCUUAAAAGUUCGGGGCUUAACCCCGUGAUGGGAUGGAAACUACAGAUCUAGAGUAUCGGAGAGGAAAGUGGAAUUCCUAGUGUAGCGGUGAAAUGCGUAGAUAUUAGGAAGAACACCAGUGGCGAAGGCGACUUUCUGGACGAAAACUGACGCUGAGGCGCGAAAGCCAGGGGAGCGAACGGGAUUAGAAACCCCUGUAGUCC
rnacentral:rRNA from 1 species